rnacentral:rRNA from 1 species
UACGAAGGGGGCUAGCGUUGUCCGGAAUCAUUGGGCGUAAAGCGCGUGUAGGCGGUCCGGUAAGUCCGCUGUGAAACUCGAGGCUCAACCUCGGGCUUGCAGUGGGUACGGGCAGACUAGAGUGCGGUAGGGGUGACUGGAAUUCCUGGUGUAGCGGUGGAAUGCGCAGAUAUCAGGAGGAACACCGAUGGCGAAGGCAGGUCACUGGGCCGCAACUGACGCUGAGGAGCGAAAGCAUGGGGAGCGAACAGG